rnacentral:rRNA from 1 species
UACGGAGGAUCCGAGCGUUAUCCGGAUUUACUGGGUUUAAAGGGUGCGUAGGCUGUUCGCUCAGUCAGCGGUGAAAUGGCGCGGCUCAACCGUGCAGCUGCCGUUGAAACUGGCGAGCUUGAGUGGGUUCGAGGCAGGCGGAAUGCGCGGUGUAGCGGUGAAAUGCAUAGAUAUCGCGCAGAACGCCAAUAGCGUAGGCAGCUUGCCAGGCCCCAACUGACGCUGAGGCACGAAAGCGUGGGGAUCAAACAGG